UGAAAAGGAGGGAAGGAGAAAGAAAAAACCUAAAAUUAAAUUAAGAACCAAAAAAAUAAAAAUACAUUCGUCUGUAUAAAGAGUCAAAAAUCAUUUCUGACACCCCUGAUGGACCAUUCCUUAUGCUAUUUACACAAGCAUGAAGCCUUGCGUGCAUACAACAAUGAUAAGGGUUUUGUUUAGAAUUGCCCUUAUUUGAUUUAUCUAUCAAUUACGGUCUCACCAAUAAUGACUCAUCUACCAGGCUUUACCAAAGAAAAACCUCCCUCGGUUGAAUCAUUUUAGUUCUUCAAUUUUAGGUUGUUUCAUUUUUGUUUCUUUCUCCAAUUAGUGUCAUCCCCUCGGUUAGAGAAGGGACAGUCAAGUACAAAGUCCAAGGGUUCAUCAACAGCUUCUAUUGUUGCCCUUACUGAUGAGGGCUACAUGCUAUUAAUUUGAGUGACUUUGGAUUCAUUGUGGUUAGAGAUGGAUGCACCAUUUUCAGGUCCCGGUGGUAAUGGUGGAGAUCUACCCAGUUCCUGUGAGUUGCACAUUGUGAGGGUAAAGAUACCUUAAAAGCAGCUUGGAUGGUUUUCUUAUCAAAGCCUUUGACCAAUUCAUUGAUCCUGGAGUAUGCACCAAUUGAUGGAUCCUGCAAUGGCAGAUAUAGCAUGAAUAAGAAGUAAGAAAGCUUAGAAACUUCAAUUUUAUUAUUGACCUCGUUCAAUAAAAGAAUGCAUGUGUACACUUACAAAAGUGGUAUCCUCUGUGUUGGCAAAGAUUGCAUAAAUCCUAAGUCUAUUUCUCUCUGCCUCCAAGUUGCUUUGUAUAUAGAAAACAGAACCUUCAUUGAGCUUAAAUAGAUCUCCUUCACGUAAAUCAGUCCUCCUAGUACCUCCAUCUUCAUCUGUCCAAGUCAGCCUUCCACUC